CGGGGCGUAGCGCAGCCUGGUAGCGCACUUGCAUGGGGUGCAAGGAGUCGGAGGUUCAAAUCCUCUCGCCCCGACCA
rnacentral:tRNA from 1 species